rnacentral:lncRNA from 1 species
GUUUUUUGAUUGUGCAGAUACCAGCUGUCCUCCAUAAGCAUUAAUGAGGUGUUUUUCAAAACCAAUAUAACGACAAUCUAGCAAAGCAAGCAUAGUACCAGGUCUCUCCUGUCUGUAAGCUGGUCGGUCAUAGUUACAGCUUGUGUUAAGCUGUUGUAAAUAUCGUCUACCAUGGCAGUUGUCUCCUCUUUAAGUGUUUACUUGAUUAGCAUCUUCUUGAUUAGCAGUGGGAUGGGGGUUCCACUUGCAAGAUAUGGCUAUCCAUCAUCUAGUGACGAUGCUCUGGACCAAUACUGGUCCAACCUUGGAUACCUCAUUGAGCCAAGGGCAAACAAGAUGUCUGCUCUCGCCCAAGCUUCCUCCUCGGCCUCCAUGUCCCAACAGGGAUCCAGUGAGGCAGAUGCACCACAAGGAAAGGGAGUAUCUAAUGUUGGAGAUUGGUCUUUUGCUUCAAGCGGAGGAAACACUCAAUCUCAGGACCAGACCGGCUGGAACAUGGGAGGAGAGUCUGAGAUGGCAGCUGUUUACCAGCAGGCUGACGGGUUUGAAGGCUCUGACAUGCAGGAGCUUCCACAAGAAGUUAGUGAGCCUUAUUCACCAAGUUUCAUUGUCCAGACCAGCAGUGGAUACAAACGGUCCAGACUGAGUGGCAUCGCAGACGAAUACUCCCUCAUCAAAGGUCUUGAGGAAUAUGGUAUUAAUCCUGAAGACUUCUAGAUGUCAAGCUCUACCAAGGAUCAGAUUUUGAAAUGUAAGUUGUACAAUCCAAAGUUUCAACUUUUUGACCCUUCAUUGCUUAAUCAUUUCUCAAUCUCUUCUAGGUGGGCGGAAAACCUUUCCCUCGGCAACGUCCUGCAAAAAUGUCUUGCCUGUUUUCAAUAUUGUUCAACACAUAAAGUGAGAUGUAACUCAUCCAUGUAGUACUCAUUAUUGUGCACUUGCAGUCACUACACCCUUCUAUCAACCUUAAGGAAUACCCUGUAGUCAUCUUAUGUUCUGAUUGCUACUGUUAACUCUGUAAAUCAUCUUGCUUGAGUGACAUCAUUUAAUAAUCGUAGGAUAUUUAAGCCUGUAUUGGUGCCUCAAUUUGUAGUACCAACACCAGUUCUGACAGGUUAUGCUUAAAAAGAGUGGACAAGACGACGUCAUAUAAAGUUGUGUGCUUCUGAGAUAUAUUGGACCCUAAAGGCGUGGCAUCAUCACGCUGCAGACUCAAGGACGUGGGUGAUUCGGACCCUUCAAUCGUGACUGAUUUACAAUUCUGCCCAGAUGGUUUAAUUUGAUUUGGCUUCAAGGAAUGCUGCUUGAACCACCUCCAUGCCAAUUUUAUUUUUGAUCAUGAAGACUUGCUUAGAAUUCUAGGAUGGAGACUCUGCGCAGUCAAUCCAUGUAGGCUGAAAUCCUCAAAGGUUUUCUGAACCCCUUUUCAUUUGUUUGCUACAUUCUCAAGAGCUGUUAAUGCUGUGUAGUCUUUUGAAUUGUGUUGAGGUCCAAUACUUGGCUGGUAAAAGUCAUCUGUCCUGGAAAAAAGUAAAGCCCAUUUGACCCUACAUGAUCAUGGCAAAAACUAAAGGAUGGUGCUUUCAGCCCCAUUCCGCAAUGCAGGUACACUUCAUCAGUAGGGGUUUAUGAAGAUGGAAUGACAGACCAAUAUAUUAUUGCAGAGCUUCAAUGUUUUUUCCAAGCUAAUUUUCUAGGCUGACUGCCUGGUGUAGCAACCCCAUAGUGACAUAUAGCUAUCUUUCAUUUAGCUACAUCAUAAAUGAUAUCCCUAUUCACAAACCGGCCCCAUAUUACUGCUCAGAGUUCACUGUUCGUAAUUGUUUUUGUAAUUUGAUAAAUUUUUAGGGCUGUGGUUCAGCAACUCAGACAGAGUACUUGAUUUUCAUCCAUUCGGUCAUCUUGCUCUGUCACAUACAGCUGAUAUCUCAGUGUGCAAAAAUAGUUAAAUUUGGAAUAAUUUGAAUUUUGGGCGCAAAAGAAGCUCUGUGCUAGCAUACAUUUCUGCCAAUUUUGCACGGUGCACGACGCCAAAGGUAGUCCACCGCAUAGUUGGCUAAGAGCUCUGCCCGAAAGAAAACAAUGGACGCGCUAACGCAGAGCCUUCCUUGCCCCAUACAUGUAAAUGAGGCUCAACAAUGGCCACAUAGUCUGCUCUUCUGGGCUCCUCCAUCAGGAUUAAGUUUUAAACCACUUUAUUGUAGAAUUCGUAGGACAAUGCUACAUGACACUGGUGUGCCAUGCAGGAGAUCACCCUUGCGGCCAGGUGAGGCUGCCUAAACCAGCCAUCAUCCAACCACAACCGGCAUAACCUAAUUUGGCAUCUUAAAAUUAAAUCUUAGAUCAAUUUCAGUGUCUGCCUAUUUGGAUGAAAAACAUAUAUUGAGUUCAUGUAAGACUCUAAUUCGAGGGAGGGCCCUUUCUGGUUGUUCAUAUACCAGCUGUCCUCAAUAAGCAUUAACAAGGUGUUUUUUUAAAAACCAAUAUAAGGACAAUCUAGAGUAGAACUAGCACUCCACUGUCUAGCUGGGGGUUUGUAUUUAGUACUUGUGUUAUUCUGUGGCAAUCUUUUUUUUUGACAUGGCCCUUGUCAGCCUUUUAAGGUGUGUCUAAUCCCUGUUUAUGCUGUCAAUGAGUUUUUUAAAUGUUGGUAGUAUCUGUUGAAGCCAUAACUGGAGUUGUUUGAAUUUCUGUUUCAGGGUUUAUUGGAUUUGCCUUUUCCUGUUUAGCAGUGGGACUUCUGCUCCAUUAGCUAGAAGUGGUAUGGAAUUCACUGUUGAAUCUGUGUUGAAACAUGUGGGUGGUUCUUGAUCCAAGAUCUGUUUAAUGCAGCAUCAAAUUGCCCUUAGUUUUUACUAAAUGUUUUGUCUUGGUAGGUUCAAUUCUUGUACAAUGACGGCUAUUUCUCCUCC